ACCCUUUAAAAACUCUUGUAAA
rnacentral:snRNA from 1 species